UUCCUGGCUCCUCUGUUCUAGGCAUCCUAAAGGAGGAUCAUUUAUCCGGCCAAACAAGGCAAAUUUUGGAGUAGAUUUUCUUACUGCAGUAAAGGAUCGGUACGGAUUGAAUGAUAAGCAAGAUGUUCAGUAUGGGACAGAGAAUACAGUAGUAUUUGGGACGAAGACUGUGGAAUUUGUUGGCAUGGAUUCUGUCGCAGAGCAGCAAAGGCAACUGAACAAACUGGUAGAUAUCUCGGUGCGUGAGUGUGCAGUGAGCCAUGCUGGUCAGACAGAGGAAAUCAGCAGAACGUGUGCCAAUAUGAGGCAUAUAAACCUAUCAAAAAAUUUGAUAUCAUCUUGGGAGACAGUAAUAGAUAUUGCUUCUCAAGUUCAGAAUCUGGAAACACUUAAUGUCAGGUAUAAAUAUUCAUAUU